CGCCGUGCUUUCUCCCGCCGU
rnacentral:miRNA from 1 species